UUUCCCAUGGGGCCACAGCCCCUUGCUAAGACUUGAGCACCCCUUGGGUCCUCAGGUCAGGAAGUACCCUGAAGGAGUGACAACCCUCAGGCAACGUGCUGCCAUGCAGCAGCACAGAACUGGGAGCCCUGGUGUACCUACCUGCACACAGGUGCACCAAGCACUCAGGUGGCCCAGCCCCACAACUCAUUGCUGGCUGAUCCUAUAAAGCUGAGACGGAAAAGGGACUCUGCUUGUGUGGAGCCUGCAGAACAGCCCUGACUGCCCACAGGUCCUGAGUCGGAGGAGCUGCAGGCAGUGAUUCACACAGCAGGGAGCCCAGGCAACUCCUCUGGAGCCAGGUACUGAAGGACCAGAGUGCGGUGCUGGGGGUGCAUUGCCCAGGAGCUGCUGAACAGAACACGGCUCUCCAACUCCCCAGCACCCAUUGUGAGCCACACUGGCCUUACAGGCAGAAAAUGGGAUGGCUAUUCACAUGCAUCAGGCUUCUGAAGGGAGGAGUGACAGCAAUGGGUGAGGAGGUGGCAAGCAAGGAUACAGCGCGGUGCUCAGGCAGCACACAUCAGUCCUGUAUUAGCACUGGGCUCCUCCAGCCCUUCGUGUCCCCCCGGCUGCUCCCCCCAUGCUGCUCAGCUCUGCCAAGCCGCUGCUCCUCAGCUGCUGGCACGAAUGUCAAUAAAACCCGGAGAGAUUGUUCUGCCCGCUAAACAGCUAUUUAUCUUUCUUUGUACACAAAUGGCUGGGAAAAUACUAGCCGAGCUUUCCAAGAGAGAGAGAGCAAUACAGUGUAUUUUCCCCUUGUAGCAACAGGGGUGCAAUUACAUUCAAACAAGGCUCUUUACUCAGAGGCUUUAAGCGAAGUCCAAGUCUGGGUUUUGCAGAGGUAUUU